rnacentral:rRNA from 1 species
GACGGAGGAUGCAAGUGUUAUCCGGAAUCACUGGGCGUAAAGCGUCUGUAGGUGGUUUAAAAAGUCCACUGUUAAAAAUUGAAGCUUAACUUCAAAGAUGCCGUGGAAACUUUUAAACUUGAGUAUGAUAGGGGUAGAGGGAAUUUCCAGUGGAGCGGUGAAAUGCGUAGAUAUUGGGAAGACCACCAAUGGCGAAGGCACUCUACUGGGCCAUUACUGACACUGAGAGACGAAAGCUAGGGGAGCGAAUGGG